rnacentral:lncRNA from 1 species
GCUGAACACAGGCCCUUGGGAAUGCAGUUUGGAGCUCCAAACUGGUAUAAGGAGUGCCAAUUUUCCUAGGGUCUAUCUUAGUUUGAAUUUUUAGGAUAUCUAGUCCACCUCCACCUUUCCCACCUUUUUGUUUGUUUGUUUUUUGUUUUGGUACCGGAGAUCGAACUCGGACCUUCCGCUUGCGAGGCAGCCGGCGGAACGCCCGGCCCCUUUUCCACCUUUCCUCUUUGGAAUGCAGUCAUAAUUUAUGAUGAAGUGCAUUGGAAGUCCCAGGGAAUUCCAUGACAUCAGGGAUCUCCUUUGUCGUGACG